rnacentral:sRNA from 1 species
ACGUAACACGCGUACGCUGCGGUUCCUGUGCGCCGUCUGCAGCCACUGACGACUGCUCGCGACGUGUUGUUAGCC